AUCCAACUGACAAGUCCCAAAUAGGACGAAACGCGUGUCAUGGAU
rnacentral:hammerhead_ribozyme from 1 species